GGAAGCACUCACGGUGAGGCGAGCCGAGGACGGCUGAGCCCCUCCGGCACACACUCCCUCUGAAGCCCGGCCCCGAGUUCUCCCCGCCUCGCACUUCUGUCCCCGUACGGGGAGGCUACAGGUUCGUUCCCCUUGCUCCCCGCGCACAGCUCCCGAAACACUUUGGAAAGAGCAGAAAAUGCUGGUUUUAACCGAAGUCAAACCGAGGAGAACCUGUAUUACAACAUCAAAGCGAAUGGAGACGUUACAAAAUUGGUGGAGUUACACCACCAUCUGUCGUUAAGCUUCGGGACUACAAAAGUUCAGACGUAUAAUAAAUCUUAAUGAGAACUGGCAA